rnacentral:lncRNA from 1 species
GUUUAGUUUAGUUUAGUUGGGCUUGAGUAAUGGAGUCAAUCUGGGUGCCAGCUAUACCACUUCUGGACCAUCUCAGCCUUAUUCUACUUAGUUUAUUGUUUGGUGGCAUCUGGGUGUUGUUUUCUAGUUAUCGCAGCCGAACACAGGUGGCAUCCAGGACAGAGGUAUGUGAUAGCCACUCUCUUUCAAAACCCACUUCUCUCUAUGCUGAAUCCCUCUGGGUUAGUAUAAAUACUUAGCCUCUGAGUAUCUGAGGGAAUGAGCAGAGGGUAGAUGAAGUUGAGACAAUGUCCAUAGAUGUCUUUCUCUUAAUUCAUUUCAAGAAGCUUUAGGUACACACCUUUGAUGUCAGCACUUGGGAGGCAGAGGCAGGAGGGUCUCUCUGAGUUCAAAGUCAUCCUGGUCACCGUAGUGAGUUCUAGGACAGCAAAGACUACUGUUUCAAAAAGCCAAGAGAAGAAGAGGAAAGAAAAGAAAGAAGAAGAGAAAGAAAAAAGAAUAGGAAAGAAGGAAAAGGAGAAAAAGGAAGGGGAGGACAGGAAGAGGAGGUGGUGGUAGUAUUAGUAAUAGCUUUAGGAUUGUGUUAUCAAAAAGACACUGAGGAAGAACAUACACAAUAUUGAAGAAGUGCUGCCUAGGAACCUGAGCUGAAGGGAGACAUUCAGACUGACAUAUAUAAAACUUUGAUUUGGUAAAACAUUUGAGAAACUACAAAAAAAAAAAAAACCUGGUGAAUUAUGGAAAUUUUUUCUUGAUUUAAUACAAAGAUGACAGAUGCCCACAGCCUCUGCAUAUCAUACCCAAAGUCAUAAUCAUGAAAGCAAGGAGAUUAAAAACACAAGGAUUGGAAAAUAAAUAAUAAAGAAUAACAGAAAAUAAAUUUAGAUCAUUGCUCAUGCUAGGCAAAGCACUCUACCACUGAACUACAUCUCUGGUCCAUUUUUCCUUGAUUUUUAUUAAGGAUAAUUUCAGGCAGAUUGGUAAUGUACCUAGCAUGUGCAAGGCCCUAUGUUCUAUUCUUAGUUUAAGGGGAGAAAAGGUGAUCUGAUGACUCAGCUCACUGACCUUUCAUUCUGUUCCAACCCUUGCUCCAUUAUUUUGAAGCAAACCACAGAUAAUUUCAUGAUAAAUAUUUUAGUACAUAUAGUUUGAGAUCCUGCCUCCACUCUGCAAAGAAGAAAAAGG